GAGUUUGAUCUUGGCUCAGAUUGAACGCUGGCGGCAUGCCUUACACAUGCAAGUCGAACGGCAGCACGGGAGCUUGCUCCUGGUGGCGAGUGGCGAACGGGUGAGUAAUGCAUCGGAACGUAUCCUGGAGUGGGGGAUAACGUAGCGAAAGUUACGCUAAUACCGCAUAUUCUGUGAGCAGGAAAGCGGGGGACCUUCGGGCCUCGCGCUCUUGGAGCGGCCGAUGUCGGAUUAGCUAGUUGGUGAGGUAAAGGCUCACCAAGGCGACGAUCCGUAGCAGGUCUGAGAGGAUGAUCUGCCACACUGGAACUGAGACACGGUCCAGACUCCUACGGGAGGCAGCAGGUGGGAAUUUUGGACAAUGGGGGCAACCCUGAUCCAGCCAUGCCGCGUGAGUGAAGAAGGCCUCGGUUGUAAG
rnacentral:rRNA from 1 species